rnacentral:hammerhead_ribozyme from 1 species
GCACUGCUGAGGAGUUCCACAAUAGGACGAAACGGCCGUUCAAUGC